AUCCUUCGGUUCAUUGAACGUGAUGAUUGGUGCGUUCACGGUGAGUCCGUGAAAGGUGCAGCCUCACUUGUUACGCUUUGCGCCUCAGCCUUUCUGAUC
ensembl:snoRNA